GACAGAGGUGCCGAGCGUUAGGCGGAAUCACUGGGCUUAAAGCGUGUGUAGGCGGACUUCUAAGUACCUUGUGAAAUCCCCCGGCUCAACCGGGGAACUGCUGGGUAUACUGGUCGUCUUGAGCCAUCUAGGGGCUACCGGAACAAAUGGUGGAGCGGUGAAAUGCGUAGAUAUCAUUUGGAACGCCAAUGGUGAAAACAGGUAGCUGGGGAUGUGCUGACGCUGAGACACGAAAGCCAGGGGAG
rnacentral:rRNA from 1 species